UCUGGUGCGGCCAACCGACAUGGGGCUGUCUCUUCACUCUCCCUCCCGUCAUUUGAUUUGUCGGGGCUGGGAUGCUCGUGAUCGGUUGCCUGUGCGGCUCUUCCCUGUUGCGGGUAGCGAAGUUGUCCCUCGAUUGAUAUUUGCUUGCCUCUCUGACAUUUUUUUGUCGUUUUGGCAGCCGAAAUGAUGGCGAAAUCCCUGUGUAGGUGCGUGGUCGAAUGGCCCCGUUGCUGUAACUCGGAAUUUUGCCGGCUCUCACGGAUGCAGUGCCCAGUGCCGGCUCUGCGUGGCUUUGCCCCGCAGACUUCGGGAGGUCCCUUGUACGAAUCACUGCGAUCAGAUGCCGUUUGUCGUGCUGCUUGUUUGGCACGCAAAUCGUAUUGUUCUGUCCGGAGUCGGGAUGACAAAGUCAAAAUGAAGUGUCUGGGGCGUGCUCGCGUACACGGGGAAUGCCUCUCCGAUCGUACAAGCAGCGAUUUCCGGUGCGUGUCCUGCGAAGGCCCGCCCGUCCGGGCCGGUGCCGGAGCUG
rnacentral:misc_RNA from 1 species